GUUCUUAGCUUUAGGGUUUUUGGCUUUAGUAUUCAUAAAAUUGAGUUUACUGCAAACAUUUACUGCAACGAGUCUUCAUGUAUAAAUCGAUUAAUUAGAGAGCUGUCAUCGUGCCGGGCUUUUCCUUCCGUGUGCAGGCCAAGCACAAUUGAACAAUAAUGGGACAGCCUCAUUAAAUGCUCAGCAGCAAAGAGACAAGGACAACGACAGCAAGCAGCAAACAGCAAGCAGGAUCGUGAGUUAAAGGAAAGGUCGAACUUUAGGUCUGUGCCCUGCUCUGUUUAGAGCUGCUUUCGCCUUCAUUGUUCGACAAUAAAAAGCUGUUGUUCAUUUUUAUGGAGUAACGCCUUGCGCCUCCUUGUGGCUGGCGCUGAGACGGUGCCUGCCCAGACGUCGUCAUUGUCCUUGCCGCCAUUGUCGCCAGGCAUUAUUGUGUGGGGAAACAACAAGCAGGCACUUGCCUUGCCUUAUAGUUAUAGCCGGUACGGGGCAUGGUGUUUGUGGAUGACGCACAUAAUGAGUCUGCGUGGCAAGUACAAAAGUUUAUAAAUAU
rnacentral:lncRNA from 1 species